rnacentral:rRNA from 1 species
UAAUUUAUAUUUUAAUUAAGAUUAUUAGAAAUUUAUUUUUUAGUUAUGAUUGGGGUGAUUUUUAAAGAUUAUUAAUCUUUAAAAUUUUUUAAUAAAAAAGUUCCAUUAGUAGUGAUUUUUUGAUAAAAAUACUCUAGGGAUAACAGCGUUAUUAUUUUGGAUAGUUCAUAUAGAUAAAAUAGUUUGCGACCUCGAUGUUGGAUUAAGAUUCUUUUAUGAUGAAGAAGUUAUAAGGGAGAAGUUUGCUCAACUUUUAAAGUCCUACUUGAUCUGAGUUCAGACCGGG